GAACUUAGGAAUAUUAAAGGAAAGUCCAGAAUACUAAAACUAAGAAAAAAAACUAACUAAGUUAAGUCUUUAAAACAAUAAUUAUCUCCUAAAGAUUAGAAAUAAUAUAAAACUAUUUUAAAUUAUUAUGCCUCUCCCCAAGCUUGGGGAGAAUAUUUAUCACGUAUUUAUUAUAAUUAUAACAUUUAUUCUCGAAAUUGAUUAAAAAUAUAUUUUUCCUAGCCCCGAAGGGCUAGCUAAAUUUAUAUUUUAAUCAACUUUGUAUUAUCCUAUAAGAGAAAAAGUUUAUUCAUUUUUUAGAAAAAGAGUUUUCCCAUAAAGGAGAAUGCAUUCUCAGGAAAGCUAAAACGUUUUAUUUUUCUUAGUUUACCCGGCCGGAUUUUUUUUUUGAUUAUCCGGCUAGCAUCUUAUAAUAGGAAAGUGUUUUUUUAAUAUUAUUCAUAAUUCUUUAAACUUAUGAUAAAUUUAAUAUACCUUUCCUGAACAGGGAUAAUAUAAUAUUUAAAUAUAUCAUUAAAAAAUUGAGGUACUUUUAAAGAAAUCAAAUCUUUUUACUGUUUGUACCCCCGGUGGUCCGAGUACUAUUUUUUUUUUAAGAUUAACAUAAAUUCUAUUCGGACCUUCCCGGGGUCUUUUAAAGUCUAAAGAAUGUUAAUAUAAGACCUAUUAUAGUUUAGCUCUUUAAGAGUAAGAUGAAUUCCCCGAGUAAUUGGAUAUAACUUAAUUAAAAAUAUAAUAUGAGCUAAAUAUUUUCAAAAGCUUAAUGUAAUUCAUUUUUAUUAUUAAGUAUGUUAUGUCAUAAUUCUUAUUAAUUCUAUAAUAAGACUAUCCCUCAAAAAGUUACUUUUCUCUUUUUGUCUCCCGCAAGUCUGCGGAAGGCCGAAGAAUAAAGAGGGAAAAAUUUAUAUGUCUCCCACAAAAGGGGAGAACGAUAAAUAAUUUGUACUGAAUCUGGCUUAUAAUAAUCUAAGAAACUCCCC
rnacentral:misc_RNA from 1 species